rnacentral:rRNA from 1 species
AGCGAACGCUGCCGGCAGGCCUAACCCAUGCAAUUCGAACGAACUCUUCUGAGUUAUUGGCGGACGGGUUAGUAACACGUGGGAACGUGCCUUUUGGGUCGGAAUAACCUAGUGCAACUUGUACUAAUACCGAAUGUGCCCUUCGGUGCAAAGAUUUAUCACCAUUAGAGCGGCCCGCAUCUGAUUAGCUAGUUGGUGAGGUAACGGCUCACCCAGGCGACGAUCAGUAGCUGGUCUGAGAGGAUGACCAGCGACACUGGGACUGAGACACGGCCCAGACUCCUACGGGAGGCAGCAGUGGGGAAUCUUGCGCAAUGGGCGAAAGCCUGACGCAGCCAUGCCGCGUGAAUGAUGAAGGUCUUAGGAUUGUAAAAUUCUUUCACCGGGGACGAUAAUGACGGUACCCGGAGAAGAAGCCCCGGCUAACUUCGUG